ensembl:lncRNA
GAUUCUAGCUGAGGAACCCGAGGCAGAAGGACAGAAAAAGAGCUGCUUUUGCACCACAGUCUGUCUGACCCACGUGCCAGGCCUGACACCCAAUUCAGUGUGCAUCACCUCCCCAGAUGAGCGAUCCCCUGCCACCAUCAGGUCAUUGAAGGGUCACAUUUAAGGGAUCAGUAGAGGUCACACUAAAGAACCCAUGCUCACUCAGCAACUCUGCACCAUGAUGGGGGCUAAGGGUGGACAGACCCAAGUCUCCACAAAAAGAUGGAUCCUCUGAGCUUUCAGCAUUUCAUUCGCCUUCCUGAGGUGAAGCACCCACAGCAAAAAGGCCCUUUGAGGGCCUUCCUGAAAUAAUGGAGCUGCAGGGGAAGGUUUAAGAUAAAUGUGCCUAAUGGUUUAUUUUCAUACACCUAUUUCAGAUCCCCGACUCCAGGGCCCAGGACUAACCUUCCACCAGCAUAACAUAAGCAAUCUUUUUCCACCCUCUCCAACUCAGUAUAGGAAGCCAUGGAGGAAGCUUGUUCCAGGGAUCUAGAGAAUGAAUGACCCAGGAGAACCUGCCCCAAGGGAUGACAAAACCUCAUAAGCAACACCUGUCUGCAACUUCUCACAGUCUCUAAGGUGGCCAGCUGACUGCCAUUUUGCCAAGAAGUUGACACAAUUUGCAAAGCAGUAAUUGACAUCUCCUGGAGAGGUACAUAGCCCUUAAGAUUCACAGUGACAAGCAAGAGGAGCCACAUUCUCCAUUUGCUGCUUGAGAAACAGCACAGGCUUUGGGAUCAGCCCACCCUCCCUUGGUUCCUUGCAGAUUCUUUACCCGCCGAGCCAUCUGGGUUCUCUGCUUCCUUUCAAUAUUCCCAGAGAUAUGAGAAGCAUAGCAGCUCCUGGAUGACAUUUUCCCAAAGAAAUUCCUAUAAAAUAUAGAUU